rnacentral:rRNA from 1 species
UACGUAGGUGGCGAGCGUUGUCCGGAUUUACUGGGUGUAAAGGGCGCGUAGGCGGGGAUGCAAGUCAGAUGUGAAAUCCAUGGGCUCAACCCAUGAACUGCAUUUGAAACUGUGUCUCUUGAGUGUCGGAGAGGUAGAUGGAAUUCCUAGUGUAGCGGUGAAAUGCGUAGAUAUUAGGAGGAACACCAGUGGCGAAGGCGAUCUACUGGACGAUAACUGACGCUGAGGCGCGAAAGCGUGGGGAGCAA